rnacentral:rRNA from 1 species
GACGAACGCUGGCGGCGUGCUUAACACAUGCAAGUCGAACGGAGAGCGAUGGAAGCUUGCUUCUAUCAAUCUUAGUGGCGAACGGGUGAGUAACGCGUAAUCAACCUGCCCUUCAGAGGGGGACAACAGUUGGAAACGACUGCUAAUACCGCAUACGAUCUGACCUCGGCAUCGAGGAUGGAUGAAAGGUGGCCUCUAUUUAUAAGCUAUCACUGAAGGAGGGGAUUGCGUCUGAUUAGCUAGUUGGAGGGGUAACGGCCCACCAAGGCAAUGAUCAGUAGCCGGUCUGAGAGGAUGAACGGCCACAUUGGGACUGAGACACGGCCCAGACUCCUACGGGAGGCAGCAGUGGGGAAUCUUCCGCAAUGGACGAAAGUCUGACGGAGCAACGCCGCGUGAGUGAUGACGGCCUUCGGGUUGUAAAGCUCUGUUAAUCGGGACGAAAGGUCCUCUUGCGAAUAGUUAGAGGAAUUGACGGUACCGGAAUA